UACGAGGGGGGCGAGCGUUGUUCGGAAUUAUUGGGCGUAAAGGGUGCGUAGGCGGUUUGAUAAGUCUGAUGUGAAAUCUAUGGGCUCAACCCAUAGCCUGCAUUAGAAACUGUCGGGCUUGAGUAUGGGAGAGGUGAGUGGAAUUUCCGGUGUAGCGGUGAAAUGCGUAGAUAUCGGAAGGAACACCUGUGGCGAAAGCGGCUCACUGGACCAUAACUGACGCUGAUGCACGAAAGCUGGGGGGGAGCAAACAGG
rnacentral:rRNA from 1 species